rnacentral:misc_RNA from 1 species
AAGUCGUAACAGGUUUCCGUUGGUGAACCAGCGGAAGGAUCAUUAACACAUUUGAACAUCUCAUCAUGUUCAUAUUACCAUACGUGUAUACUAAUAUAAAAAGUAAAGAGGUUGAAUACAUUUAGUUCAACAUAACAACUCUUUUCUUUUUAAACCAUUUUUUUACUCCAAUCUUUAUUAUUAUAAGUUUUGUAUAUUUAUGUAAAUUCACUUUUACAUAAGUUUUGUUUUAAACAAACUAAAAUACAACUCUUAACAAUGGAUAUCUUGGUUCUC